UACUGCCACAGUGGUGAUUAAGGUUC
rnacentral:piRNA from 1 species